UCAGAAUGAAGGUGAAAGCUGUAUACAGAUAUGGUAGAGUCAAUGAAUGGAAGCAACCAACAUCCCUGAGUGAUUGCUUGGAAGAACCAUCAGACCCUCAAGUGCUGCUGAUCCAUAUUGGUCCUAGUACAAAUAUGAUUCUUCAAAUGAGAGUCACAGAAUCCCAUUGAAGACAGUUGCUAGUCUGUGGGCAAUGAUCAUUGAGAAGAAAGUCAGAGCUGAAAGUUCAGAGGAGCAAGCAACCCUGGAGCCACAGGGUUGUAGAGACUUUGACUUAAUCCUGCUGUCAGUCACAGAGCUCAACACAUACAGUUGUCUCAUGAAAAGCAAUUCAAUUACAGAUCAAUGCAUGCAAUCUGGAUUUGCAAAUGUGGCUUAUCAUUAAUAGCAGAUAUGAGAUUCAUCAGAGUAGGAAUUUGAAGGUGAAGAGGUAUGUGAGAGAUAAAUACUUAUUCUGGUCUAUUUUUGUCCAGUGUUUUAGUGCAGUUAUAGCCUUAUCCCAUAUUGCUGUGGCAUCUCCAAUAAGGAUGUUUAUGUCUUUGGUGAAUUCAUAAGUGACUGCAAUAGAGCUUUUCCAUUGGUGUACCUUAUGCUUUUAUUAUCUUUCUUUGUAGAU